rnacentral:rRNA from 1 species
AUUGAACGCUGGCGGCAUGCUUUACACAUGCAAGUCGGACGAGUGGCGAACGGGUGAGUAACAUAUCGGAACGUACCGAGUAAUGGGGGAUAACUAAUCGAAAGAUUAGCUAAUACCGCAUAUUAUUCGAGCGGCGGAUAUCGGAUGAGGUGGUUGGGGGGGUAAAGGCCUACCAAGGCGACGAUCCGUAGCGGGUCUGAGAGGAUGAUCCGCCACAGUGGGACUGAGACACGGCCCAUACUCCUACGUGAGGCAGCAUUGGGGAAGUUGUGACAAUGGGCGCAAGCCUGAUCCAGCCAUGCCGCGUGUCGGAAGAAGGCCUUCGGGUUGUAAAGGACUUUUGUCAGGGAAGCGGUACCUGAAGAAUAAGCACCGGCUAACUACGUGCCAGCAGCCGCGGUAAUAC